AAUAGAUCCCUGGUAGUCCAUGCCGUAAACGUUGGGCACUAGGUGUGGGACUCACUCAACGGGUUCCGUGCCGUAGCUAACGCAUUAAGUGCCCCGCCUGGGGAGUACGGCCGCAAGGCUAAAACUCAAAGGAAUUGACGGGGGCCCGCACAAGCAGCGGAGCAUGUUGCUUAAUUCGAGGCAACGCGAAGAACCUUACCUGGGUUUGACAUGUACGGAAAAGCCGCAGAGAUGCGGUGUCCUUUUGGGCCGUACACAGGUGGUGCAUGGUUGUCGUCAGCUCGUGUCGUGAGAUGUUGGGUUAAGUCCCGCAACGAGCGCAACCCUUGUCCUAUGUUGCCAGCGGGUAAUGCCGGGGACUCGUAGGAGACUGCCGGGGACAACUCGGAGGAAGGUGGGGAUGACGUCAAAUCAUCAUGCCCCUUAUGUCCAGGGCUGCAAACAUGCUACAAUGGCCAGUACAAAGGGCUGCUAUACCGCGAGGUUGAGCGAAUCCCAUAAAGCUGGUCUCAGUUCGGAUUGGAGU
rnacentral:rRNA from 1 species